CGAGCGUUGUUCGGAAUUAUUGGGCGUAAAGAGCGCGUAGGCGGUUGUAUAAGUCUUGUGUGAAAUCUUCGGGCUCAACUCGAAGUCUGCACGAGAAACUAUCUGGCUUGAGUGUGGGAGAGGUGAGUGGAAUUCCUGGUGUAGCGGUGAAAUGCGUAGAUAUCAGGAGGAACACCUGUGGCGAAAGCGGCUCACUGGACCACAACUGACGCUGAGGCGCGAAAGCUAGGGGAGCAAACAGG
rnacentral:rRNA from 1 species